CCACUGACUGUUUUCCCUGCUGUUAAUAUCUUACAUCAGUGUGCUUUUUGUCAUAAUUAAGAACUAAUAUUGAUACAUCAUUACAACAAGAAAAACAAAAGAAAAACAACCUAAGUGUCCAUCGACAGACAAUUGGAUUAAGAAGAUGUGGUAUAUAUACAUAAUGGAAUACUACUCAGCCAUGAAAAGAAUAAGAUAAUGCCAUUUGCAGCAACACAGAUGGAACUAGAGGACUCUAAUACUAAGUGAAGUAAGUCAGAAAGAGAAAGACAAAUACCAUAUGAUACCACAUAUCUGAAUCUAAUAUAGGGUACAAAUAACCUUUCCAAAGAAAAGAAAAUCAUGGACAUGGAGAACAGACUUGUGGUUGCCAAGAGGGAGGGGGAGGGAGUAGGAGGGACUGGCAAUUUGGGAUUAAUAGAUGCAAACUAUAGCCUUUGGAAUGGAUAAGCAUUGGGAUCCUGCUGUAUAUCACUGGGAACUAUGUCUGGUCACUUGUGAUGGAGUAUGAUAAUGUGAGAAGAAAGAAUGUGUACAUGUAUGUGUGACUGGGUCACCUUGCUGUGCAACAGAAAAUUGACAGAACACUGUAAAUCAGCUAUAAUGCAAAAAAUAAAAAUCAUUAUUAAAAAAAAGAAAAUUUCCGCUUAUAGAUCUUCCUUCCCUAAUCCAAUUUUUUUAUUGUUGUUGGUUCUGUAUGUGCCAUUUCAUUCCAUUCCUAUCAUUUUCAUCAUGGAUGUCAGAAGACAUGAAAGUGAGAGGUCAAUUGACCAUUAAAAAUUGAAAGUCUGUUUUUAAGGUUGUGAUUUUAAAACAUAAGGUGGUAUAAUUACUACCUCUCAUUGUUUAUUUAAUAUUUGUCAGUUUUCUAGAACAAUAAAAUAAUAAAAAUAGACCAUGUAAUGGUUUCCUCUCAAUAAUAUAAAAAUAUCAUUUUCGUCCUUAAGAUUGAAAUGAGAAAAAAUAAGGUAAAAAGUCUCAUGGAAAUUGGAACUAGUCUGAUCUAUUUUGUUGAUUUUAAAUUGUCUGAUAGAUUAUUUGUUGUCAGGAAAAAGAGAAUUUUGGAUAGAGUUUCAGAAGUUGACAAAUAGGGCUGAAUGAAACAAUUGUGUUGAGGAAGGGUUUUCUAAGUCUUCACUGACAGAUU
rnacentral:lncRNA from 1 species